CCUCUCCUCCCUACCCGCUGACAUACAGGUGUUGCAAUGUGUCCUAACGUCCGCGUUUACCCCAGGCCAGAAGAUGGUAUGGGUAAUACGGUGCAGGGUGCAAGUUACAGCCAAGUGGCCAGCUAAGGGAAUAUCAUGCCCUUUUCUUGGUAUUUCCUGUCUGUACUUAUAUGGGACCACCAAUUGUCGCCUAUGUUGUCCCUUCUUCUCUGUUAGAUGGUACUGUUUCCCCUUCUCCCAUAUAAAGGUCUCGUUAUCUAGUCCCCCUCCCCCAGACUCAGCCUUUUCCCUGUACUUUCGUAAGGUCUGGUCAGAUUUGGACUCGUUCUCAAAGGUGGCUGGGGUAUCCCAGGGUAUGGGAUCUAAUGGGGCAGUCAGGGUCGGGGUGAGUCUUACCUGUAGCUCCCGCACUGGUGAAUGGUCUGGCUGGUUCCUGGCUUGUGCUCGGGUAGUCACCGGAUGGGCAUCGGGGGUAUAGGAUGGGGCAUAGGCAGAUGUCACAGGUCCCAAAUCGUUGCCCAAUAAUACCUCUGCUGGCAAAUUAUCCAUGAUUCCCACGUUCACAGUCCCUUUUCCCGCCCCCAAUCCAGAUGGACCUUGGCGGUCGGGAUUUUGUAUACACCCCCCC